UACGUAGGUGGCAAGCGUUGUCCGGAAUUAUUGGGCGUAAAGGGCGCGUAGGCGGUCUGCUAAGCGUGUGGUGAAAGCUCGGGGCUCAACCCCGAGUCGGCCGUGCGAACUGGUGGACUGGAGCACGUCAGAGGCAGGCGGAAUUCCGGGUGUAGCGGUGGAAUGCGUAGAGAUCCGGAAGAACACCGGUGGCGAAGGCGGCU
rnacentral:rRNA from 1 species